GGAGCUGUGCCUGAAAAAGGGUUACUGUGAUAGAGUAAAUAAUGAGGGCGAAAACCCCUCCAACUCCU
rnacentral:tRNA from 1 species